UACGGAGGGGGCAAACGUUGCUCGGAAUCAUUGGGCGUAAAGCGCACGUAGGCGGCCUGAUAAGUCGGGUGUGAAAGCCCUGGGCUCAACCCAGGAAGUGCACUCGAAACUGUCAGGCUUGAAUAUGGAAGAGGGUCGCGGAAUUCCCGGUGUAGAGGUGAAAUUCGUAGAUAUCGGGAGGAACACCAGUGGCGAAGGCGGCGACCUGGGCCAAUAUUGACGCUGAGGUGCGAAAGCGUGGGGAGCAAACAGG
rnacentral:rRNA from 1 species